AUGUCCUCUCUACAGAAUGAUGUUCCUGAUCCUCAGUGCCCUUCUUUUCAUUUUCGUCAACAGAGAUUGGUGUCAUGGGAAUGACAUGAUCUUCUUGUUUCACAGCAGUGUCCAACAAAUUCAUCUCUUUCGCUAAAAAUCAGAUAAAUCCACACAAGGUAUGAACAAUAAACACUGCAGGUAUAGUAAAUUAAAAGCAAGGUAUAUUAAUUUCCAGGGAUAGAUAAAAAUGCAUUAUACCUUUUUUUAUGGCCAAAGAUUCCAUCUUUUUCUUCUUUGCAGCUUUCCUCUUCCUCCGUCCAGAAGCCAUUGCUGUAGCAGUGUAGUCUGUAUAAGAUCCAAUCCAGAUUCCAGGGAACAGCCGGACAAAAAGAUGACAGUUACAC
rnacentral:lncRNA from 1 species